GAAACGUAAUGUGAAUUGCAGAUUUCAGUGAAUCAUCGAAUCUUUGAACGCAUCUUGCGCUCCUUGGUAUUCCGAGGAGCAUGCCUGUUUGAGUGUCGCGAACUACUCAAUUUCAAACCCUUUGUUGUGGUUUGAAAUUGGAUUUGGGUGUUGUUGUUGCGGGAAAACGACUCAUCCUAAAUGCAUUAGUGAUCUUGCCACUGAUCAUGAACAAUGUGAUAAGAAAAGCAUUGUUGAGAUUGGAGGUUGGGGUUGCUUCUAACCGUCGAAAGACAAAAACGCAUAUAUGCGGUUUGACCUCAAAUCAGGUAGGAGUACCCGCUGAACUUAA
rnacentral:rRNA from 1 species